CCUACGGGAGGCAGCAGUGGGGAAUAUUGCACAAUGGGGGAAACCCUGAUGCAGCGACGCCGCGUGAGUGAAGAAGUAUUUCGGUACGUAAAGCUCUAUCAGCAGGGAAGAAAAUGACGGUACCUGACCAAGAAGCCCCGGCUAACUACGUGCCAGCAGCCGCGGGAAUACGUAGGGGGCAAGCGUUAUCCGGAUUUACUGGGUGUAAAGGGAGCGUGGACGGCUGCGCAAGUCUGGGGUGAAAUGCCGGGGCCCAACCACGGAACUGCUUUGGAAACUGUGCGGCUAGAGUGCAGGAGAGGUAAGCGGAAUGCCUAGUGUAGCGGUGAAAUGCGUAGAUAUUAGGAGGAACACCAGUGGCGAAGGCGGCUUACUGGACUGUAACUGACGUUGAGGCUCGAAAGCGUGGGGAGCAAACAGGAUUAGAUACCCCAGUAGUC
rnacentral:rRNA from 1 species